rnacentral:rRNA from 1 species
GAGAGGGUUCGGCCCUCGGCUGACGGCUCAGUNACACGUGGAUAAUCUGCCCUUAGGUGGAGGAUAAUCUCGGGAAACUGAGGAUAAUACUCCAUAGAUCUAGGAUGCUGGAAUGCAUCUAGAUUGAAAGCUCCGGCGCCUAAGGAUGAGUCUGCGGACUAUCAGGUUGUAGUCAGGGUAAAGACCUGACUAGCCUACGACGGAUACGGGCUGUGAGAGCAAUAACCCGGAGACGAUAUCUGAGACACGAUAUCGGGCCCUACGGGGCGCAGCAGGCGCNAAAACUCCNCACUGUGCGAAAGCGCGAUGAGGGAAUCCCAAGUGUUUGCUCGUAAGAGUAAACUGUUUCUUUGUUUAAAACGCANAGAGAGUAAGGGCUGGGUAAGACGGGUGCCAGCCGCCGCGGUAAUACCUGCAGCUCUAGUGGUGAUCAUUAUUAUUGGGCCUAAAACGUCCGUAGCCGGUUUAGUAAAUGCCUGGGUAAAUCGUGUAGCUUAACUAUACGACUUCCGGGUAGACUGCUAAACUUGAGACCGGGAGAGGCUAGAGGUACUCCUGGGGUAGAGGUGAAAUUCUGUAAUCCUAGGGGGACCACCAGUGGCGAANGCGUCUAGCUAGAACGGGUCUGACGGUGAGGGACGAA